GACGAACGCUGGCGGCGUGCCUAACACAUGCAAGUCGAACGGAAAGGCCCUGCUUUUGUGGGCUGCUCGAGUGGCGAACGGGUGAGUAACACGUGAGUAACCUGCCCUUGACUUUGGGAUAACUUCAGGUAACUGGGGCUAAUAUCGGAUAGGAGCCCCCGCUCCAUGGUGGGGGUUGGAAAGUUUCGGCGGUUGUGGAUGGACUCGCGGCUUAUCAGCUUGUUGGUUGGGUAGUGGCUUACCAAGGCUUUGACGGGUAGCCCGCCUGAGAGGGUGACCGGCCACCUUAGGACUGAGGUACGGACCAGAGUCCUACAGGAGGCAGCAGUGGGGAGUAUUGCACAAUGAGCGGGAGCCUGAUGCAGAAGCGCCGCGUGCGGGAUGACGGCCUUCGGGUUGUAAACCGCUUUCGCCUGUGACGAAGCGUGAGUGACGGUAAUGGGUAAAGAAGCACCGGCUAACUACGUG
rnacentral:rRNA from 1 species